GCUGUGUUUUGUUAUUCUUUUUGAGAAUGAAGGUAGAAUUACACGAAAUAUUACAAUGCUGAACAAGAAAUAACAUACUUUAAAACAUGUAAAACAGUUGGUAAAACAGUGAUGGUAAAUCAUUGGUAAAAAUUUAUAAUUUUAUAAUAUUUAAUAACAGGUCUGUACAAGAGAUCUUUGUGAGGGUGAUAGUGAAGAUAAUACAAGGAUUCAGCACAUCAUAUCAAUCCAAUUGAAGGACAAAGUAUCCAUUGAUGCAGGUAAGGUGCAUCUAGGCUAAGAAGUUAACUUGGAUCUGUUUCACAGCGAGUCAUUGAUGAUCAACUAAGUAGUAGGAUACAGUUUUCUGAUCAGAUGCAAUCAUUUUAUCUUAUCUGGCUGGAAUUUAAAGAGCUGGGACUACCAUCAGGAAAAUCUACCAUGUAAUAACACUAACCCAGAACAUUGCUACUGAGUCUACCACACAGUAAUACUGACUAGGAAAUGGCUAUUGAGUCUACCACACAGUAACACGAACCCAGAGCAUUGCUACUAUGUCUUCUAUACAGUAACACUAAUUCAGAACAUUGCUACUGAGUCUACCACACAGUAAUGUGCACAAGGACAUUGCUACUAUGAGUUUUCAUGCAGUAACACUGACUUUGAGUAAAAACACAUAGUAGCAUUAACUUAGGAUGUUGCUACAGAGUAUUUCACACUGUAAUACUGAUGCCAAAGUGUAGCUUUUGUAUGGAAAAUUCAGACAGCUGACUGGUUACCUGUCAAUAGGUGCAAUAAAAUCUUUAUCAUCCGUUUAUGUUAACACUCUUGAUACUGAAGGCUGGACUCUGCUGAACACUGGGAAAAAAGCAGAGAUAAACAUGCAAAGUGCAAAAAACUUUUAAAUGUGACCGUGAUAUAUAGACAUUAAAAUUAUUUUAAGUAACAUUCAAGUAAUGGUCAAAGGUGGUAGUGAAAACUCACUGAAUGUGAUUACUGAGAAAGAAAGACAGUUAUACCUACUAGUAAAAAUCUAUAAGAUUAAAUAUUAAAAUAAUGUUUAAAAGUGACAGUAGGUACAGUAAAAUGUGAAUAAUAUGUGUUUUGAUUGAUAAUGUCAAAUAAUAAAAGGUAACUCAUUGUU